rnacentral:rRNA from 1 species
UACGUAGGGUGCGAGCGUUGUCCGGAAUUAUUGGGCGUAAAGAGCUCGUAGGCGGUUUGUCGCGUCGGCCGUGAAAUCUCCACGCUUAACGUGGAGCGUGCGGUCGAUACGGGCAGACUUGAGUUCGGUAGGGGAGACUGGAAUUCCUGGUGUAGCGGUGAAAUGCGCAGAUAUCAGGAGGAACACCGGUGGCGAAGGCGGUUCUCUGGGCCUUACCUGACGCUGAGGAGCGAAAGUGUGGGGAGCGAACAGG